rnacentral:rRNA from 1 species
GCCGCGUGUGUGAAAAGGUCUUCGGAUUGUAAAGCACUUUAAGUUGGGAGGAAGGGCAUUAACCUAAUACGUUAGUGUUUUGACGUUACCGACAGAAUAAGCACCGGCUAACUCUGUGCCAGCAGCCGCGGUAAUACAGAGGGUGCAAGCGUUAAUCGGAAUUACUGGGCGUAAAGCGCGCGUAGGUGGUUUGUUAAGUUGGAUGUGAAAGCCCCGGGCUCAACCUGGGAACUGCAUCCAAAACUGGCAAGCUAGAGUACGGUAGAGGGUGGUGGAAUUUCCUGUGUAGCGGUGAAAUGCGUAGAUAUAGGAAGGAACACCAGUGGCGAAGGCGACCACCUGGACUGAUACUGACACUGAGGUGCGAAAGCGUGGGGAGCAAACA